UGGGGGAUAUUGCACAAUGGGCGAAAGCCUGAUGCAGCGACGCCGCGUGGGGGAUGAAGGCUUUCGGGUUGUAAACCUCUUUCGCUAUCGAACAAGGCCCGCUUAGGGUGGGUUGAGGGUAGGUGGAGAAGAAGCGCCGGCUAACUACGUGCCAGCAGCCGCGGUAAUACGUAGGGCGCGAGCGUUGUCCGGAAUUAUUGGGCGUAAAGGGCUUGUAGGCGGCUUGUUGCGCCUGCUGUGAGAACGCGGGGCUUAACUUCGCGCGUGCAGUGGGUACGGGCAGGCUUGAGUGUGGUAGGGGUGACUGGAAUUCCAGGUGUAGCGGUGGAAUGCGCAGAUAUCUGGAGGAACAACGAUGGCGAAGGCAGGUCACUGGGCCAUUACUGACGAUGAGGAGCGAAAGCAUGGGUAGCGAACAGG
rnacentral:rRNA from 1 species